UACGAAGGGGGCUAGCGUUGCUCGGAAUUACUGGGCGUAAAGCGCACGUAGGCGGAUCUUUAAGUCAGGGGUGAAAUCCUGUAGCUCAACUCCAGAACUGCCUUUGAUACUGAGGGUCUUGAGUUCGGGAGAGGUGAGUGGAACUGCGAGUGUAGAGGUGAAAUUCGUAGAUAUUCGCAAGAACACCAGUGGCGAAGGCGGCUCACUGGCCCGAUACUGACGCUGAGGUGCGAAAGCGUGGGGAGCAAACAGG
rnacentral:rRNA from 1 species